CCCUAGCCCCGAUUGAAGUGGAAAUCCCGGAGCAAAGCGGAGGAAUUGGAACGGAAAGCGGGAACUGCG
rfam:Flavobacterium cauense R2A-7 FCR2A7T_17, whole genome shotgun sequence.